AACGCUAGCUACAGGCUUAACACAUGCAAGUCAAGGGGCAGCAUGAACUUAGCUUGCUAAGUUUGAUGGCGACCGGCGCACGGGUGAGUAACACGUAUCCAACCUGCCGAUGACUCGGGGAUAGCCUUUCGAAAGAAAGAUUAAUACCCGAUGGCAUAGUUCUUCCGCAUGGUAGAACUAUUAAAGAAUUUCGGUCAUCGAUGGGGAUGCGUUCCAUUAGGUUGUUGGCGGGGUAACGGCCCACCGAGCCUUCGAUGGAUAGGGGGUUCUGAGAGGAAGGUCCCCCACAUUGGAACUGAGACACGGUCCAAACUCCUACGGGAGGCAGCAGUGAGGAAUAUUGGUCAAUGGACGAGAGUCUGAACCAGCCAAGUAGCGUGAAGGAUGACUGCCCUAUGGGUUGUAAACUUCUUUUAUAAAGGAAUAAAGUAGUCCACGUGUGGAUUUUUGUAUGUACUUUAUGAAUAAGGAUCGGCUAACUCCGUGCCAGCAGCCGCGGUAAUACGGAGGAUCCAAGCGUUAUCCGGAUUUAUUGGGUUUGAAGGGAGCGUAGAUGGAUGUUUAAGUCAGUUGUGAAAGUUCGGGGCUCAACCCCGGAAUUGCAGUUGAUACUGGACAUCUUGAGUACAGUUGAGGUAGGCGGAAUUCGUGGUGUAGCGGUGAAAUGCUUAGAUAUCACGAAGAACUCCGAUUG
rnacentral:rRNA from 1 species